rnacentral:rRNA from 1 species
AAUCAACGCUGGCGGCGUGCCUCAGACAUGCAAGUCGAACGAGAAAGUUCCCUUCGGGGAAUAAGUAAAGUGGCGCACGGGUGAGUAACACGUAGGUAAUCUACCUUCGGGUGGGGAAUAACCCAGGGAAACUUGGGCUAACACCGCAUAAUGCAGCGGCACCACAUGGUGACAGUUGUUAAAGCGGGGGAUUUUCGGACCUCGCGCCUGAAGAGGAGCCUGCGGCAGAUUAGCAGUUGGUAAGGUAACGGCUUACCAAGGCGACGAUCUGUAGCCGGCCUGAGAGGGCGGUCGGCCACACUGACACUGACAUACGGGUCAGACUCCUACGGGAGGCAGCAGUCGGGAAUUUUGGGCAAUGGGCGCAAGCCUGAUCCAGCCACCGCCG